CGGCCUUCAGCACGGCGUCACUGCGCCGCAACCGAAGCUCACCCGGCUGCACCCGGAGCGACGCCGCCCCACUGCAUCCCCACAGCGUGAGAAACAGCGCCCCAGGAGCAGCCGGUGAGCUGUGGGCAGUCCAUACGGUGACAAAUAAAGCACUGCAGGGCGCUCUGAAGCCCGGCAUCCCCGUUCCUUCCCAAGGGAAGGGCUGAGUUAAAGCACACCUGGCAGAGGCAGCGUUCCUCCUCCAGCACGGCUCACCUUCAGGGAAGGCUCCUAUAGGGUAUGGGGCAGCACUUCUUUGGAGGUCACACAGGUCAGCAGUAUUAGUCUGACUGUGGGGAAGUCUCUCCUCCAGGGAGACCUCACUGUGGCCUUCCAGUACCUGAAGGGAGCGUACAAACAGGAGGGGGAACGGCUGUUUAUGAGGGUGGAUGGUGAUAGGACAAGGGGGAAUGGUUUUAAACUGAGACAGGGGAGGUUUAGGUUGGAUAUGAGGAGGAAGUUUUUCCCCCAGAGGGUGGUGACGCACUGAACAGGCUGCCCAAGGAGGCUGUGGAUGCCCCAUCCCUGCAGGCAUUCAAGGCCAGGCUGGAUGUGGCUCUGGGCAGCCUGGGCUGCUGGUUGGCGACCCUGCACAUAGCAGGGGGUUGGAACUGAUGAGCACUGUGGUCAUUUUGUUGAAGUUGUGUCGCUGCCUCCAUUUUAUUUCAAAGUAUAACAGUUUUAAUUGACUGUUGUUCAGGUUGGACACCUUUGCUGUGUCACAGCAAUCUUUGUUCAUUGAUCCAUUUGGAAUAAAGAAGGAUGUUAAUGACGGUUUAUCCUUUGUGGUGUAACAAGUACCUUCUACUGAUCCAACACUGUAAAAAUAGUCAUAUAUUUUUUAAUCCCCCCCUCCUCCCCCCCAGCAAUUCCAGACAGCAAGGGUAGUGUGUUGCUUGGGCUAAGGCUGGGCUGUUAGCUAAAUUAAGCCAUUGUGACUCAAAAUCCUCCUUUAAUAAGGUUCAUGCUGUCUACAACUUCAUCAUUUUCUGCUGAAUGAUAAUUACUUUAUUCAAUCAUGUUCAAGGUUUUAGUGAAAGCUAGCAUUGAUUGAUUAACUUCAAUUACCAUGCUUACAUUUGCAUAGAUAAAAACUGCUUUUCAAUUUGUGAGUGGCACGCUGGUGGAAACCCUGCGCUGAUAUUUGCAUUUCAAUGUGGAUAGCGAAGAAUAAAGGUGGAAAAGAGGUCUGAUCAGUGCUAAGCCCUUUCUGCUUCAGUGCUUCAGCAUUUUUCCAUAAACACUCUUGUUAUGAUGUUGGUUUGUUCGAACCGCUCCGAGGACGCGGCGCAGCCUCCUGUUUACGAGCUGUGUGACAGUUCAGUCCCUGGGCCGGGGAUGCCCAAAUCCGAGCGUGCGGCAGGCAGGAGCUUUCCUAUCGGUGACCUGAAAAGUUGGGCCUCCCCUGCGGUGCUGCACAGCACUCGGCUGCAGCCGCUCACUGCGGCUCCUCACUCGUUCCUUCCGUCUCCGCCAGGUUUCUCUUGGAGAAGCUGCCGUGUGAUGAGUGAAAUGCCGCUGUCUGUAUUCGACCGCUGCCGCGGCUGCAAGCAGAGCUUCCCGCUCAUCCCCUGGCUCUGCACGCUGUGCCCACGAGCUGCGGGCUGCUCUGCCACACCAGCGCCGGGCGGCUGCAGCACGUGGGAUCCGCCGCAGCCCUGCAUCAGGGAGAGCCCAGCGCCGAGGCAGUGCGGGUGGUGUCAGCUGAGCACUGAGUCUGCACAUAACGACCCAACAGCCGUUCCAGACAGCGGGACGAGGAGGCGGCUGCCUUUCCUAUUCCUGUUUCAGACUGGAGCUGCGUGGCUGCGUGCCCUUCUCCAGAGCCAACCUGAAAGUGUUGAAGUGCAGCUCUGCGCUGCCUUUGCUAUGCACAGUGUGUGAGAUGGGGCUGAGAAGUUUUCUUCUUGGUUUAUUGUGAGCGUUUUCAACAUUUCGUUCCGAUUCCAUCCACCACGAGUGUUAAUUGGUGACAAUAGGCACUCGCCUCUGUUUCCCUAUUUCACCUCUUUCCUCUCUGUAACAUCUGUAAGCUCCCUAUGCUGUGUGGGAAAAAAAAAACAGGAUAUUUCAAGCUGCUUUUAACCUGGGCGGCCGCACUCCGUGCAUGCAACACCCGGAGACAUAACAAAGUGAGAGCAUCAUCCCCAAGCUCCUGCCAGGCUCCGGAAUAGAUAUUCACAGAGAAACACCAGCAGAGAAACGCGUGCGCCAGGAGGAGUGCCGGGGCGCUAUCAGGACAAUGACAGCAGCACAGAGCUCCUGGGGAAGCGUUUCUGUGCCCGGGCGUUGUUAGGAAAUGGCACGAGGUGCUGCGGGCCGUGCCAGCGGUGCUGUGCACAGGGAUGGUCUGCUCUGCAGAGCCGCCGGGCGCUGCCGGGUCCUGGCAGCAAACUGCUGGCACGUGG
ensembl:lncRNA